rnacentral:lncRNA from 1 species
AUUAUAUCUCUAAAAUAUGGAUUCCAUUUUAUUUUCAGAAUUGAAAUGAUCAACUUGACAGGUGACAAACCUAUGUAUUGUCGAGACCAAAAACAUCAUCACGGUAUACUUUCCAUUUCAAGAGGUGCUGGGGCUUGAAUCCUGGAAAAGAUUAAACAUUUCUAAUACCAGAUUUCUACCUCCCUGGACUAUUGUGAAGAUACUUUGAAGAGUCAUAUGAUUUAGCUCUUCAAGAUCCUCAAGGGAAAAGCUAUUACAUAAUCUGUGAUGGCCAAUCUAUAUUUCUAGAUUCAUUGCCCCAGAUGAUGAUAUAUUGGAUCUGAUAUUAAACACUAUGGUCUCCUGGAAUCCUUGAGAUUUUUUUCCAAAACACAGCAUCUAUAAAAGAUUGCCAAGAAAAUCUGUUGCCUGAAUCUGCAACUUCAAGGACAGAGGGGAGGCACUUCAGUCUCCAGGCGAUCCUGGAGGGAAGACAAAGAAUGGCAAUAAUGCCGAGUGGAAUCAGCAUGAAUUAGGAAAGGACAAAGAGACAAGCACAGGGAGGAUGGUUCAGAAAGAGAACAAGAGAAAUAUUAACUAUGAUACAAAGAGUCCUGCAGCAUGGCCUAGAGCAGGCAGAGCAGAGAAAAUUGAAGAAUCCUUG